AACGAACGCUGGCGGCAGGCCUAACACAUGCAAGUCGAGCGCUCUCUUCGGAGGGAGCGGCGGACGGGUUAGUAACGCGUGGGAAUGUACCCUUCUCUAAGGAAUAGCCAUUGGAAACGAUGAGUAAUACCUUAUACGCCCCCCGGGUCAAACUGGGGGGAAAGAUUUAUCGGAGAGGGAUCAGCCCGCGUAAGAUUAGAUAGUUGGUGGGGUAAUGGCCUACCAAGUCUACGAUCUUUAGCUGGUUUUAGAGGAUGAUCAGCAACACUGGGACUGAGACACGGCCCAGACUCCUACGGGAGGCAGCAGUGGGGAAUCUUGGACAAUGGGCGCAAGCCUGAUCCAGCCAUGCCGCGUGAGUGAUGAAGGCCUUAGGGUCGUAAAGCUCUUUCGCCAGAGAUGAUAAUGACAGUACCUGGUAAAGAAACCCCGGCUAACUCCGUG
rnacentral:rRNA from 1 species